rnacentral:lncRNA from 1 species
AAUAAUUUUUACAGCGUAAAAGCAAAAUAAAUUUCCUACAUACAGUAGCAUACGUAGCUCGAUAUUCAAAACAUUUAACAAUGACAUGUGGGCUCCCGAAUGACUAAAAGUAAUGAAGGCUGUGAAUCUACAAUUUUUGAAGAUGCAGGUCCAACUGUAGCCCUUAACGAAAUGAGCUAUCUACCGACUAUCCUGAGCCUGAAAUAGGUGGAAAGGAGGGUGGUGAGAUUAUAUAAUCCUAGUGAGUAAACAAAUAUCAUCUAAAAUAUCUAAAACUGAGUAAAUAGAGACAGAUAAAAUAGAUUAGCAUAAAAAUGAUUCACAGCAUUUCGAACUCAUUUUAAUAAGAUAAAAUAGAUUCAUUUCACCCAAAUAAACAACGAGGCUUAUGAUUUCCUGAAAAGCUUGGCUCGUGCCAAAAUCAUUCUCAUACUCGGUUGUCAGGGAUACCUUGGUCUGGAGCUAUCCCAACCGAAUCCGCCAAGGCUGUUAAAAUGUCAUGUACACAUAAAUCAUGUUUUUAUUUUGGAAACAUAACCGUUCUUGGGCGUUGGCUGAGUUCACCCUCACGUGGUGGUUUGGCGUGAAGUGAACUCUAAAGUUUUACCUCAAGAGUUGCCCUACGCGCCUCCUUAAUCGAGAUAAGAAUAUACCCGGAUUUCGUACCCCUCAAAAAGGUUGGUCCACAGAACCCGACACUACAGUGACCAAUCUAUAACCCACCAAUUCAAUAAAAAUUCAACAGCAUGACAUGGCAAUUUUAUCAUUAUCUAGCCUAUCAAGGCAAACAACAGUUUAUACAUUUUCAACACAAAUACCCAUCCAGCCAUUUAUGCCCACAUUAUCAUAAGCCAUUCAAUUCAAAACAUAAUUUACAAUACAGCAAGUAGUCUCCAAUUACUCCAUUUUCAAGUCAUCAUUAAAUUUCAAAAUAAUUUAUAAAAUCAUUUCAUUUAAACACAUUUUUCAUAAAAUUNNNNNNNNNNNNNNNNNNNNNNNNNNNNNNNNNNNNNNNNNNNNNNNNNNNNNNCCAAUACUCCAAAUCAUUAAACACAAUUUAAAUAACUUGAAAUGUGGCAAAAUCAUCCUCACAUUUUCUCUUGAAAAAUUCGGCCAUGGUGAGUGCACUAACAAUAUAAUUUUUCAUGCUUGAUUCUCACACCAUAAAUCAUUCAUUCCUAAUCAAAUCACUUGAAAUUCAAUCAAAUUCAUCAUCAAUAUUCCACAUGGAAUAUUCGGCCAAUGAAGGUGAUGUAAGAACAUGAAUUUUUCUUGCUUGCUUUUCAUGCUACACAUCACCAAACAAUUAAAAACACUAGAAUAACAUGUUUUCUAACUAAAUUCAUCAUCAAAGUCUCUCUCCUAAGGUUUGAUCAGCACACUAUCCUUCAUGAUAUCUUGUGAUUCAACCAUGGAAAAUGCAAAAUAAUGCAUAGGAAAGGUAGAUCACAAGUUAGAAUUAAGAAAUUUUACCUUUAAUGGCUUGAUUCCUUGAAAAUCAAUAAUUUCCCUUUGAAUUUUUCUCCCUAGGGUUUUUGUUCUUCCUUUUUUCUCUUUUUCUCUCUUUGGCCAACCAAGAUA